GCGGGAGUAACUCAGUUGGCAGAGUGUCUGCUUCCCAAGCAGAAUGUCGCGGGUUCGAAUCCCGUCUCCCGCUCCA
rnacentral:tRNA from 3 species